GACGGGGGGAUGCAAGUGUUAUCCGGAAUCACUGGGCGUAAAGCGUCUGCAGGUGGUUUCCUAAGUCCACUGUUAAACCUUGAGGCUCAACCUCAAAUCUGCAUUGGAAACUAGGAGACUUGAGUAUAGUAGGGGUAGAGGGAAUUUCCAGUGGAGCGGUGAAAUGCGUAGAUAUUGGAAAAGAACACCGAUGGCGAAGGCACUCUACUGGGCUAUUACUGACACUCAGAGACGAAAGCUAGGGGGAGCAAAUGGG
rnacentral:rRNA from 1 species